UUGUUUUAGUAGCCCUUGUACUAAAAUUGGAAUGAUACAGAGAAGAUGAGCAUGGACCCUGUACAAGGGUGGCACAGAAAUUAAUGUAGAGUUCCACAAUUUU
rnacentral:snRNA from 1 species